GUCAAGUCAGCAUGGCCUUUAUAUCCUGGGCUACACACACGCUACAAUGGCCAACACAAUAGGUUGCUAAGCCGCGAGGUGGCGCCAAUCCAUAAAGUUGGUCUCAGUUCAGAUUGUAGGCUGCAACCCGCCUGCAUGAAGAUGGAGUUGCUAGUAGCCGCAGGUCAGCUAUACUGCGGUGAAUACGUUCCCGGGGCUU
rnacentral:rRNA from 1 species